rnacentral:lncRNA from 1 species
AAUUGUUGAAAUGGUUAAAUCAAGAAGAUGAGUCAUACUUCGUUCCAAUACAAGUCUUAGAGUCAUACUCCAAGAUUGUCAUUUGAGUGACAUGUCUUAAAGAAGGUUUAAAACACUUGUCAAAUGUAAGAGUAAAAGUUUUCUACUCUUGUACAUUUGAAAUUGGUAAGUUGUGAUGUUUUGGAUAAAACAAAGACCAACUUAGGCCAAUUGGGUAAAGUGUUUUUCUUGAUUAGAAUCCGCACUAUCUCUUGGAUGUUUGACAAGGGAGUCUUAUAUGUCAAGAGGACAGUGGGAGUCUUAAAGGUCUUGAAAGUCUCAAGAAAUAAUCAAGAAUAAAACCUAAAGUUCUUCACUAGCACACGACUUGAGGUUCAUAACCUAUCGUGUUGACAUAUUCUGUGCCCAUUCCAGUUAAAGUUGGUUUUGCAUAUGAGUUCUUAGAGUUCUCAAUUUGUUGCACAACAACUUGGAAGCAAUGGCAGGCCCUUGAGCUGCCAGGUGGCAAGAAGUUAAGAUUGAGUUCAAUCCAUAUGGUUUUGGAUUUGUCAUUAUCUUUGUCUUGUGAUUAUGGUUUGACAAAUUCAUAUGGGUAGGAACUCAUACACCAUAUAAAUCUAAGUGUCAUAAGGUUUCUCUCCGAUUCAUGAAAAUGAUGGUGAGGAAACGCUUUCACUAAGUAGAUUUUACGAAGAUAUCAAUUGUGUUAUUUGCAUUUUCAAAAGUCGUUAGUGGAGCGCGUGUGGUUAACCGGCACACUAACAUGGACUUGUGAGAAAUGGCAAAUGCCUAAGCAAUUGAGACCAUGAUUACGGUAUCCCUUUUCAUGGUUCUUGAAAUUGCUUAGACACACAGGUGAGCUAUCUACGGAAAGGGUGUAUGAAUCUAAAUUUCAGACUGUCCAGCUGAUUUCUGAGUACAUGUCAAAGCUAGUGGGAGCAUAAGUGUUAUGCUAAUAAUCAUCAUGUUAGUGGGAGCAUGAUAAUUAUGAUAAGUAUUGCAAGUUAGCAAUGUUAAUUAUAGAAAACAAAAGUUUCAAUUGGGAAAAAGUUGUUUUGCUAUAAUUAAGGGAGAGGAAAUUAUGCUUCAUCUCAAAUCUAUAAGCUUAGAUCGUGAGGUUUUAAUCAUUUAGUCAAGGAUAUAUAUGAAUUUCAUGUUGGAAUGGCUCAACAUAAGGAAAUUCUGUAUAUGGGUCCAUUAUUUGCGUUCUAAAAUUCGAUUAUGAUUACGGCAUCCCUUUUCAUAAUCUGAAUUAUGAGAACUUGGCAAAUUGAAAUGGAAAUAUUAUAGCAAAAGACUGGUUUAGUCUUUAUGUAAGACAUCAUGAAUCGUGUCCCAUAUGCUUCGGAUAUAGGAUCGAUUACAUGUGCUAUAUUCAUCCGUUCUAAAAUUUUCCAAAUGCCUGGGGCAUUAAGAAGGGAAAAGGUUUAGAACUGGAUAUGACUAAAAGGAUUAAACAAUUGUCGAGGACAAUCUAAGGUUUACCAAAGAUUGGUUACUCAAGGACAAUUGGAAGUAUAGUGAUAAUUCUGGAAGGACCAUAUUGACAUAAUCUGUAAGGAGGCAACUCUUGUUCAGAAGUGAUAGUCAAAAUGGAAUCUGGAAAUGUUUCAAAGUUAGAAUUUUCAAUCUGUGUAAGAUUAAGGAAACUUAAUGCAAGAAGGAUAUUUCCAAGGAGUUGAUCUCCUUUGGAAUACUCUGUAAUGAUUGUUGCCAAGUCUUUGUGACUUUGUGCAUAAUCAUUACAAGAGGAUCAAUGCAUAUAAGUUUAGAAUCUAACAGAUUUCAGUAAAUGGCAUGAAUUUGGAAUUCUUGCAUUUGCAGUAAGGAUUUGGGAGUGUGAAAAGAGAAUCAUUGAAGUUAUGUUCAAUUGAUCUAGUUCACAAAGUAAAGAUCAUAGACAAACAUAGUAUGCAUACUUGGUGUGUGGCAUGACUAGUGUUUAAGAAAACAUAGUGUACAUGCUUGGAGCAUGGGACAACUAUUGUUUUAAAUUCAAGAAUAAAGUUGAUAGCUGAAACAGUAUACAAUGAAUAAUGUGUAAUCAUAUGGUGAUAAAUAAAAGGUGUUUUAUUUAUGUUCAAAGGGUUGAUACCAUAUUGGAUUCAAUUAUUAUUGUGUUUCAUUUUGCAUGUUUUGACUUCCCGAAUAAACUGGGUUAUUCUUCCGGAAUGACUAAGUUAUUCAAACCAUCCACAGUCGGUCAUAUGUUGGAAGUAGAUAUGAAUUAAGACUGUCAUGGGUUGGCUUGUAGAGGUCUAAGGUGUUGGACAAAGGGCUACAACACUCAUGAGUGCUCAUAAGUUCUGAGUAUUGGAUUCAACCCGCGCUCAUUGGAAUCACUUCAUGGAUUUUAUCACGAGUGAUCAUGAGACGAUAAUAUCUUAUAUUCUUCAAACCUAGAGAUAUGAGUUGUUACUAUGAGUUGAUAGUACAUUGAUUGCACGAAAACGCAUUUGGUAACUCGGUGCUAUAAAACGUGCCUUUGUGUAUGAUUCAACAAGUAGUAGAACAAGCCAUAUGAGUCGAAGUUUAUCCAUUCCUUUUACCUUCGGGAUAAAAGCGAUAUCUGUGGGCCCCUCGAUGAUUUGAUGAUGACAAAUGGAAGUGCUCGGCCGGGCCAGGACUGAUUUGAUUUGUUCAAUUAGUCAGUCGUCAUAAAUCGGAAAUCGGGAAACAACAAAUGGACAGAGAGAAUGAUUAUAAUCCAUGUCUCAGUCCAUAUGAUAUCUAGAAUGGAGGAAUAUAUGAUCCCUUAUCUAAUGGACAAGUCAUUGACAAAGGUCAGAGUUCAUCUACAAGGUCAGAGUUCGACAGAAGCUUUUGAGAGCUACGAUUGCCAGUUGGUUCCUGAAGUCAUACGCAAUAAUAGUUUUAGACUUAUCCAAGUGGGAGACUGUUGGAUUAAUGUCUAAGUCCAUAACUAUAAUUGGUAAGACUUGACCCGACCCGGCAUGGUCCAUUUGGGUUGCAUACCAUCAUGCACUUGGAUAGACUAUAAUGAGAGAAAUAAGACACUUAUGGUUAUUAAUAUAUUAUAAGUUCUAGUAUAUUAAUAAUAAGAAUAAUAAGAUUAUUUAAUUAGUAUUGAUCAAGAAUUAAUCUAGGAUUAAUUAAGUGAUCAAAAGAAGACUAAUUAAAUAUAUGGGUUGAUUGUGUAAAUCAUCCAUACUUGUAUAGUGGGCUAAUGCUCCAUGGAUAAUCAAGUUGGGCUAAAACCCAUAGGAUGGUCCAUGGAUGCUCCAUGGUGUAUUUGUACCCAUGGAUCCAAGGAAAUGGAAAGCCAUGACAAUUAAGAGUUUACCCUAAUUGUGUAACUAUAUAAGCAUCUUAUUAUUGAGGAAAAAUCGGCCACUAGUGAUAGUGAAGAAAGGGCUAGCCGAUUUUGAAGAGUGUAGAAUUCUCUCAAGUCAUUCCAAGUGUUUUGAUGAUUGUGAUUCCAUUUGAGGUGUCACACUUGGGGCACUAGGCACUCAAGCUUCAUGAAGACUUUCUACAUCAAAGAGGUAUGUAUUCUAUCUUGUUAUAGUCAUUGUUUUGUAUGCUAGAUUAGGAUAAUACCUUGGAAGUUCUUAUUUGCAUGUAUAAUAGAGAAAACAUAGAUCCAAGGUAUUUAGGGUUGCAUGUACACUUAGGAGUGUUAGAAUGCUCAAAACCCAACAGUGGUAUCAGAGCCUAGGCUUGUUUUCUUGUUAUACCUGCAAUAGAAGCUGAAAAAACGAAUCUGGUGCUGUCUGGCCAUCAGACUCGGCGAGUCCAUCAGGAGACUCGACGAGUCCAUGCCUAAAAAGUGAUGAAUUCGAUCCAACUCGCCGAGUUUGUUCAUGCACUCGACGAGUUGGACCCCCAGACAGCAUAUUUUCGAGUUUUUUGGCUAGAAAUGGACUAGGAACAUUACCCUAAGUUGUUUUUGAACUUAUAAACUUGUUUUUGAUGUGGUAAUGUUCAUGCUAAUCCAUUUUCAAAGAUAAUUGUCAAUAGAUUCAUGUUUUGUAUUAGUUUAAGGUUUAGACUAAUUACAUGAAAAAGUUUGAUUUGAAUUAUCUUGUUCUUAUGAGUUGCUUAGAUUAAUAGAAAUGUUGAGUGAAAUAGUUGUUUUCAAUCCAUUUUAAUCUAAGAGUUGAGUAUAAAAUGUGUUUGUGUAACUUGUCCUCAAGUUACAUGAAGAGUCACAUUAAAGACUCAUAAAACUCAUAAAAGUUGGCAAUGGUUACAAAAUGAAGAGUCUUGUGUCAUUGAAUAAUUUUUUUUGACUCCAUAACUUGUCCUCAAGUUAUGGAAGUUCAAGAGUCACUUCAUUAAAGAAAAAUAUGUAACCAUAAUUAAAUCCAUAAGUUAUAAAAUAAAGAAAAAGUUAGUUCUUUUAUUAGUUUAAAGUCUUCCAUAACUUGUCCUCAAGUUAUGGAACUUGAAGAGUUUUUGGAUUAAAACUACUUUAAACACAUAAGUUAUGGAAUUAAUUAGUUUUGAAUAGUUUCAAAACUUGCCCUCAAGUUUUGGAAUUUGAAAAGUUUUCAAGUAUGAAUACUUUAAUUCCAAGUUAGCCCUUAGAAUUUUAAAAGUUAAAAUUCAACCCUUAUACUUUAUAAUAUUAUAAGUUAAUAAUAUAUAUAUGUAUAAGAGUAAAGUCAGUCUUACCGCUAGUACGCCUCAUUCACGAAGCCGGUCUAUAAGGUGGGUAUAAGGUUGUUGCCUAUAAAAUGGCAACUUAAUGGGUGUCCACUCUCACCCACCGCUUGCUUGACUGGUGGAGGGUCGUUAGCCGAACGGGUUUGACAGGACUAGAAUUCUCCCUUCAUUAAAAGUAUUAAUGAUAAUACUAAGUAACUAAACUCUUAAUAAUACCCAAUCUUAGUUACUUAGGAAAAAUGUGAAUAAGGUGCUAAUCCAUGAAAUUACACUUUACACUUUGUCUAAGUCGUUAGUGGAGCGUGUGUGGUUAACCGGCACACUAACUUGGACUUAACAAGGUAGGUAAAGGGUGACUUAAUAUUUAUCAUAGUAUCGAUGGAGCGUGUGUGGUUAACCGGCACAUCGAUUGAGGGGUAAUUUAUUAAGGGUACCAAGUGAUUUGCAUGGUUACUUCACACCUUGUUUUGUGAUCCUCGGCAUCCCAGUCACAAAACCUGAAGGGCACACUCGAGAUUGAAACAUGCCUUUGAAAAGUUCAAUGAAUCUCAAAGAUCUAGGAGUUUCAAAACCAAUUAAAACCUAAUAAUACAUUUCGUUUAUCUUGGUGGAAAUUGGUGAAUCGUCAUUCACCUACCUUCAAAUAUUUUAUAGCUUGGAUUACGGCAUACCUCUUCUAAGUUAUAAAAUAGUUUGUUGGGUCCUAGCCUUAAUAUUUCAUAUUGGGUGUCAUAUUAAGGACUUUAAAUCAACUAUCUUGAAUAUCUCCCAAAAGAUGUCUGGUUUAGACACCUAUGAUCUUCCCAAAUCUCUUGAAACAAGGUUUCCUAAUGAAGAUGAUGUCCCAUGGAUAUCAUACUUCUUCACCUCUUCAAAUUAUUCUCCCUAACCCACAAGUUCUUGAAAAGUUUAAGGUCACUCAGGCCCUAUUAGCAAGGCAAGGUCUAGGUGUGGUCACAUCUUGGAGAUGUAGUCACAUAUUGACAAGCCGGGAGAGUUGGGUGUCAAAGUCUUGAGAAAGUUGGUGGUUCAACCACUUUCUAAGUCACAUAGUGAGUUCCUUUGGGACACCUAUGAAACAGACUAUGACAAGACCCUUAAUGAUCUUAUCUAUUUGCUAAGAUCAACUUCCUAAAACUUUAUGGACAUUGACAAUGAUGACAUUGGAUAUCCAGUAAAGCAUUCUCUUCCCAAUGGAAAGGGAUCGGCCAUAGUCAACUCGGUUGACCAAAUGGUAAAGAGAAAAGCUAAGUCUGUGAUAGUCCCGUGUACCAUUAUCAAAGGGUCCAUAUGUUUAUAUUGCCAAAGGAAGGGGCAUUGGUUGCGAAGCUGCCAAAUUUACCUAAGGAUGUUAAAGUCAAUAAGUUUGACUCUACUUCAGGUAAAGUCCACUAUCUAACUCUGUUAAGUUUCUAUUCUGAGAUUCUUGAUACAUGAUGUGACUGGGUCACAUGGUGAUGUUUUAAGAAUCAAAGAAAAGUGAAGAAACUUAAAGAAAGAAUAUGCUGAAUCUGAUGGCGUAGAUGGAUUUCUAUCGCAUAGUUUGAAGAUCGGAUUCUUGAGCUACUUCUUAGGAGUUAUGAGAUAUUGCUUAGGAAUAGAUAACAACAAGUUUUCAUAUGGAUUGUAAGGAUAAGUUUUUCCGCAAAGUUUUAAAAUAAAAGAAAAUUUUUUUGAUUUUAUUUAUUUUAAAAUAUCCUUACAAUGGCUUUUGAGGAAAAAUUGUUGCUUAUAUGAUUCCAUUAAGAGCAAGAGUGGAAAUAUGAAAUUGAUUCUUUCAUUUGUGGUAAUGUCUAAAUUUACCAAAUAAGGAAAGAUUCUCAUCACCCAAGUUUCAAUUGGACCGGAACUUGGAAUCAUGCAAGUUGUAUAGCAUGAUGAAUCGAAACUUUCAAGUAUUGGAAAAUUAAGACUAAUUACUUGUUCACAUGGAUGUGUGAGUCAAGUAAAGGACUAAGGGAUUGAGUACAUCAUCUUGUGCACUGAUUAAGUCCACCACAAAAGAUUGAUAAGACUAUUCGUCAUGAUUUACUUAAGUUCAGUAAAUAUGGUUAUACUUACAAGUUUAAGUAUAAUUCUGAAACAUUGGAAAAGUUUUGAUGUAUGGCAGAGCGAAUAAGAAGAGUCAAAUUAGUCAGAAAGAUAAAAGUUUCUCAAAUCUGAAAAGAUGGGAGAGUACUUUAGUAUGUGUUUUUUGUGAUCAUCUUAAUGAUUAAGAAACCAUAGCACAAUUAGUUCUCUAAGGAAAUCUUAGUGCAUUCUUAUGACUAAGAAGAGGAAUAUUGAAUUGUUGAAAUGGUUAAAUUAAGAAGAUGAUUCGUACUUCGUUCCAAAAACAAUUCUUGGAGUUAUACUCUAAGAAUGUAACUUGAGUGAAAUGUCCUAAAGAAGGUUUAAAACACUUGUCAAAUGUAAGAGUAAAAGUUUUCUACUCUUGUACAUUUGAAAUUGGUAAGUUGUGAUGUUUUGGACAAAACAAAGACCAACUAAGGCCAAUUGUGUGAAGUGUUUGUCUUGAUUAGAAUCC